CGAACACAUUCAUCGAACGUUGAUGAUCCUGGCUACUACAAAAAAUGUUAGCUAGCUACAAUACUGGCGCUAGCAGACUUCGGCUGGGCUCAGCUCACUCUGAUCCAGGAGAAAGCUAUCCCUCUGGCUCUGGAAGCCAAGACCGGGUCAGGAAAAACGAUGCCUACCUAUCAUCCAGCGCAUCCUGACAUCCAAACAGAGCUAAGGAGUCUCCAGAAGAAUCGACUUCCAGAAUGUCUCCAACUUCAUCAACUUUGACUUCCCCAUCACCGUUGAGUCCUACAUCCACUGCGU